AUGCUGGUAGUAUAAUAUUGUACAAUUGCCUUCCAAGCAGAUAGACCAAAAAUGGCCAACAUA
rnacentral:tRNA from 1 species